rnacentral:lncRNA from 1 species
CUGCAAGACAACUUCCGCAUUUAAAUUCCAUUCACUACAACAAUUAACAUUCUAUGUGCACAAAGUGCAAGGUCUUUAAUGAUAACAAAACCUCAAGGUUGAAUAACAUUGCAGUAUUGAUUUCAAUUUAAUUUAAUCGUGCACUGCAGUGUGUAAACCUUAGUGCAACUACACUCAGGACGUUUUUAAGUGCGCAAGCAUUGAUAUUUUGUGACGUUAGAAACGAUCAGAACAGUCUUAUUUCUAUAUUAAGACAAUGUUAUAUGGAAUCAAUAUAAAGUUUCUUGCACAACAGGAUUUGGUUUAUGGAAAAAAAAGGUAUAAUUUUUUACAUGCAAGGAUUAUUUUUAUAUGCAGACCUGUUCUUAGGCAGUAUUGGAUUGUAGUUAACAGCUUAUUUUGCCUUGAUUGCUUUUUAACAAUUGAUAUUUCCAAAACAUGCAUCAGGUUUCAAGCGCCAUUUUAAGAUUUUUUUUCUUGGAAUGUGCAAUAUGGCGUCUGUGUCAUAAAAGCUUUCAUUUAAUGUAGCUAAAGUCAGGCAAUUACGUUAACUGUGUUGUAUUGUUUGACAUUUGGUUAUCUGGGGGUUUUAAGAGUAAACUAUAUAGAAUGAGUUUUCUCAGUGUCUGCUGAAGUUCCAUAAACAGUCAAACCUAUAUUAAGCAGUCACUAGUUGGAAGUAUCAAAAGUGACUGCUCCAUCGAGAUAACCUUCAAGACAAGAUUUAAAAAAAUUAAAAUUUCGACAUUGACUGUCACCAGAAUCUGGGUACAUUGUUUUAGUGUGUUCAAUUGCUUAAGAGUUUUCCUAUAGAAUUUGUAACUUAUUUCUUCCCAGAGUGUAUGUAUGUGCCUGUCUCAAGUCAGGAACCAAGUGUAUUCAGUGCUUGUUGUUUGUUGGUGUAUUGCAUAUUUGUUUUGUGUUCUUUUAUUUUGUACGUUAUUUGAGCCGUUAGUUUUUUUCCUUUUGAAUUGUUUUACAUUUGUCAUUUCAGGGCCUUUUACAGUGGUACAGUGACCUAUAGUUGUUAAUUUCUGAGUCAUUUGGUCUCUGGUGAGGAGUUGUCUCAUUACAAUGUAGCUAUCAUGCCACAUCUUCUUUAUAAGUAGGACUAAGUUAGACAAUUGAUUGUGUCAUAUAGUUGCUAAUAUAUUUUUAAAUAAAUAUCUGGUUCAACAAGUGUGUGGAUAUUUGUAGAAAAUUUGCACCAUAUAUUUUUCUCUUAUGAAUCUCAUGAAAAAAACAAAGUAAAAAUUUG